ACACAACACCUGUGUAGAAGCAAAGGCUACGUAUGUAUUACAGGUAUAACAUAUACUUUAUUUAUAACAUAUACUUUAUUUCACCGAAAAUCCCUCAUUUAUUAUAAUUAAUUGUUUUAAGGUUAUUUUGAGAUGUGUUACACUACUUUCAAGAGUGAACUAUUGUAUUGUGUUUAUUUUCUACAUGGUGUUAAUGCUGUGAGGUCAUCAACGGGAGCCAUGCUUUUACUCCUCGGUUUGCUCAGAGCCUGAUGAGGAGAGUCACUAAAAGAGAGACAACCUGCAGGCUUGUGUCCAGAGACUUGUCUUCCACCUACACCUCACCAGAACACAACGUAGAAAGUACUACUACUACUACCACCACCAUCAUUACCACUACUACUACUACCACCAUC